rnacentral:rRNA from 1 species
UACGGGGGGGGCAAGCGUUGUUCGGAAUUACUGGGCGUAAAGGGCUCGUAGGCGGCCAACUAAGUCAGACGUGAAAUCCCUCGGCUUAACCGGGGAACUGCGUCUGAUACUGGAUGGCUUGAGUUCGGGAGAGGGAUGCGGAAUUCCAGGUGUAGCGGUGAAAUGCGUAGAUAUCUGGAGGAACACCGGUGGCGAAGGCGGCAUCCUGGACCGGUACUGACGCUGAGGAGCGAAAGCCAGGGGAGCAAACGGG